rnacentral:rRNA from 1 species
AGGGCACCACCAGGAGUGGAGCCUGCGGCUUAAUUUGACUCAACACGGGAAACCUCACCCGGCCCGGACACGGACAGGAUUGACAGAUCGAUAGCUCUUUCUCGAUUCCGUGGGUGGUGGUGCAUGGCCGUUCUUAGUUGGUGGAGCGAUUUGUCUGGUUAAUUCCGAUAACGAACGAGACUCUGGCAUGCUAACUAGUUACGCGACCCCCCGAGCGGUCGGCGUCCCCCAACUUCUUAGAGGGACAAGUGGCGUUCAGCCACCCGAGAUUGAGCAAUAACAGGUCUGUGGUGCCCUUAGAUGUCCGGGGCUGCACGCGCGCUACACUGACUGGCUCAGCGUGUGCCUACCCUACGCCGGCAGGCGCGGGUAACCCGUUGAACCCCAUUCGUGAUGGGGAUCGGGGAUUGCAAUUAUUCCCCAUGAACGAGGAAUUCCCAGUAAGUGCGGGUCAUAAGCUUGCGUUGAUUAAGUCCCUGCCCUUUGUACACACCGCCCGUCGCUACUACCGAUUGGAUG